rnacentral:rRNA from 1 species
CCCUUAGAUGUUCUGGGCCGCACGCGCGCUACACUGAUGAAUUCAACGAGCACUAACCUGUGCCAAAAGGUUCGGGUAAUCUUGUGAAAUUUCAUCGUGAUGGGGAUUGAUUAUUGCAAUUUUUAAUCAUAAACGAGGAAUGCCUAGUAAGCGUGAGUCAUCAGCUCACGUUGAUUACGUCCCUGCCCUUUGUACACACCGCCCGUCGCUCCUACCGAUUGAAUGUGCCAGUGAAAAGUUCGGAUUGGAGAUAGGAAACGGCAACGUAUCCUAUUUCCGAGAAAAUCUUUAAACUUUCCCAUUUAGAGGAAGGAGAAGUCGUAACA